rnacentral:rRNA from 1 species
UACGGGGGGAGCAAGCGUUGUUCGGAUUUACUGGGCGUAAAGGGCGCGUAGGCGGCGCAACAAGUCACUUGUGAAAUCUCCGGGCUUAACCCGGAGCGGCCAAGUGAUACUGUCGUGCUAGAGUGCGGAAGGGGCUACUGGAAUUCUCGGUGUAGCGGUGAAAUGCGUAGAUAUCGAGAGGAACACCUGCGGCGAAGGCGGCCUGCUGGGCAGUAGCUGACGCUGAGGCGCGACAGCGUGGGGAGCAAACAGG